rnacentral:rRNA from 1 species
UACGGAGGGAGCUAGCGUUGUUCGGAAUUACUGGGCGUUAAAGCGCACGUAGGCGGCGACUCAAGUCAGAGGUGAAAGCCCGGGGCUCAACUCCGGAACUGCCUUUGAAACUAGAUUGCUAGAAUCUUGGAGAGGCGAGUGGAAUUCCGAGUGUAGAGGUGAAAUUCGUAGAUAUUCGGAGGAACACCAGUGGCGAAGGCGGCUCACUGGUCCGGUACUGACGCUGAGGUGCGAAAGCGUGGGGAGCAAACAGG